AACACCUUUUAAGUUAGUCCAGAGAGUCUACAAGGGUGAAAUUGAACGGGACAGGGGAGCAGUGUACCCCCUUGUCGCCAUGUACGUAUGUUCAAAACCACCCUGUCGAACCCUGACAGGGUGGUUUUUUUA
rfam:Bacillus enclensis strain SGD-1123 genomic scaffold Scaffold2, whole genome shotgun sequence.